AUGUUUGAUUUGCCAUUUUGGGUUCAGGAUAAUUUAACCUAAACAGUGAUUUUAUCCCAAUCGAUUGUGAUUCAUGUGACCCAUCUCCCUCCCGGGUCAUUUUUGUCCCAAACUCACCGAAGUAGCUCCUCACCGGAUCGCGUCUCUCUCUCUCGCCGAACGUCUGUAUCUCUCCCAGGAAUAAACACGGCCGUGCCAAAAAAAAAAAAUGAAGAAAAGGGAGAAACAUAGAAGAUGUGGUGGAGGUUCAUGAGAUUGAUGACAGCGAAAAACAGAGAAGAUCCUGUUGAGUAUGAUGAAGAUGAUGAUGGUGGUGAUGAAGACGAUGAUAAAGAUGAAGAGAUUGACAAUGAUGAGGGGGAUUUUACUGAAUCUGAGAGCACAGGGAGGUUGACAAGCACUGAAGGAAAAAAUUGAUGGCCAUGAACAAGGAGAGGAUGAUCGAGAUGAAGAUGAUAAUGGCAACUUUAUUUUAGACCUACUAGCUAUAAGCUAAUGUGGAUGCAGCAUCCAUUUGUGAAUAUUUUUUUUCAAACACUUGCUUUAUCAAUGAUUUCAUACAAUGACUUUAAUUUGAUAUGUUGAUUUCUUUAACUGUUUGAGGUAAUGAAUAUACAUUUGUGA